GCGAGUAUAGAUGAAAAAUUAUCAAAUCGGCACUCCGAGCCACAGGAGCAUUAGAUUUGUCGCGUUUACAUAUACAUACAUUUAGUUAUACGUCCUCGUGGGUGAAUCUUGUGGGUGGUUUUAUCCCGUUCCGAUCAAAACAGAUCUUCGUAAGCCGAUCAAAUGGUUCUAUAAGCAGAAAUUAAAAUUAAUUUGCGUCCCGUGUAGCGGUAAUGGGGAGAAUCCGUCGUGUCAUGCGUCAGAUUGGAGCGGUCGUAACCGAGCAACGCGUCACCGUGUACAGGUCUUCGGACAAUCUACCAGCUAUGCGAGGCCUGGGAUGUCCGAUGUUCAGUCAUUAGGCGAUGGAAUGUCCGGGAGGACCCCCGCGGCGGACACGAGGACGGAGAAACGUACGGACCAUUUUGUGAGCUGCUGUGCCCUGUGGGUUGUAUACGUCGUUCUGCUCUGCACCAGGUCGGGCCACCGUUACGCGCACACGUGAACGCGCUACGUACGCAUCCUCUUUCCAGAAAAUACCGAGAGUUGAAGUAAACGAACGAUUCCCCGAAAUGAGGAAAUUGCAAUUCCAUGUCAAGUGUCCAGCUCAACCGCAUCUCUCUCUCUGGGAUAAACCUUCAAGAACGUCAUCCACCCUCCUCGAAGUUCGAGCAAAUAUUGUUUAAUUACUGAAACUACGUGCAAAGCUGUUUGAAGAUUCAAGGCCCCUUGUUUAGGAAUGCAACAAAGACCUUUAUCGAUGGAGAGGGUGGUUCUGCCCCGCGUGGGAUGAACGGAUAGAAUCGUAUAAGGGAAGUUUGUACCGACCAAGGCGCAACCCGGUGGACCGGAGCCGAGGGCCCCUCUGCAAAUAUUUUUACUCCCGCGGGGCGCGUUUUAUCAAAGUGUUCCCAUUGUCCUCUUCUCAUCCCCGCUCCACCCCUACCGUUUAUACUAUCCAGCAACCCUUUCCAUGGGAGGAACACUGAUUUGAUAAAGAGGAUUUGGAAGUGUGGCACGCAUCGGUAUCUGUACGCGUACACCUGACCGUGUUCACGCGUUUCCGUUUUCAUCCUGACGAAAAAAAAAAGUCCUCCUCCAACUCCCGACUCCCUCAGCACAUUGCGGAGCCCGUUCAUAACGGUAGUUUGACAACUAGGAAGCGUCAGCUCGGAUUUAUUUGGCCAUACCGGUCACCGCUGCAGAGGGAGCUACAAGUUACCGAUGUAUACCCCCCCCCCCCCCCCCCGUAUAUAUGCGUUUGUAUUUUCACGAUUUAUGGACAAAGGUCAAUUUAUUUUUACGACUGCCGUAACACUUUCUGGCGAUCUGAAUGCAAUUCUUCUCUUUUUGUUCGUUCCUGUUUUUGUUUUUUCAAUUUUUGUAUUUUUAUGUGUUUACGCACCCGUUUUUUCAAUUGUUCGUCCACCGCGGCCAUACCCAUGGAUCAAUUAGCUGGACCCAUCCGGUUGUCUCUUUUGUCACGAAGAGUUUGAAAAAUACAACGGCAACGAAAAUUGCCACGCUCAGAUCGACAGAAGAAACAAUGAAUCUGCUCAUUCGAGUAUGUAUUGAAACUGUGAGGCUUUCACUGAUCAUGAUAAUGUAGUAAAUGGAAAUGUUCGUAUACAUUCACAUGCCUCGUGUAUCGACCGGCUCCGGAAUGGUGUGGAGAAAAAUAAAUGCUGAAAUGAAUAAAUAAAUGAG